GUGAAUCAUCAAAUUUUUGAACGCACAUUGCACUCUCUCCGGAUAGUAUGCCUGUUUGAGUGUCAGCCUAAAAAAAAUCAACAUCUUCGCUGUUUCGCGGUGACAUUCGUCGGUAAUUGGGUCAUCUUAAACCUUUGGGUUUUAAGCGGCUUACAAUUUUCUUUACGAUUCCACGAACGUUUUUCACAUUUACUUCUUACCCGUUUAAGGUA
rnacentral:misc_RNA from 1 species